rnacentral:lncRNA from 1 species
CCACUAUCUCUCCUGAAUUCAGCUGGGAGAGCUCUCACUCCAAAUACUGCUUGGUGCUGGGUUAUGUUAUUUCCUGCUCAGAAAUCUUUCCUAUUGCCUAGCAAAUUGAAAAUAUUCAACUAUUAAGGCAUUUAAAGCACUUUAAAAUAUGCUCUCAAUCAGCUUAGGUACUCUUAUCUCUGACUACUUACCUAAACAGUUCCUAAGCCUUGAUCAAAUUGGCCAGCUUACUGCAUUUUAUCUUCAUAUCCCCCACAGCUUUGGAUGGUAUACUCAUUUGGACAGAAGGUUUCAAAAGAAAGAAGAAGAGAGAGAGGAGAAAAGAAGAAAAGAAAAGAAAAGAAAAGAAAGAAAAGAAAAGAGAAAUGAAAAAAAAAAUAGGAAAACAGGUGAAGACAAUGAACAAAUGGCUCCACUUUUGUAACCAACAGAGAUUCCAGCAUGAUCACAAACAAAACAUCUGACAACUCAAAAAAGUAUCUCCAUGUGUUUCCACACAUGGACCAAUUUGGACUGGAAUGAAAAGUGUGAGCUACCACAAACAGUUCCUCUUCAGGUCAUAUAUGGUGGUCACCCCAACACUAUGCUCUUCUGUAAAACAUUUUACACUUACAGCCUUGUCCAGUUUCUCUCUCCAACAACUUGACUUCCUGUGCUAUAGAUAAGUAUCAAUGCCUCCUCUUUUUUAAAUCACUGUGGCCCAUAAAGAUAUUUCUAGGCCUCUUGACAUUUUCAACUCUAUUUUUACACCACAGACCUGAGAAUAAUGAAAAAAUGCAGUAAGUAAUGUACAUAGGUCUUUUCCUCAUGUGGGACAUUGCGGGUAACCUGACAUUGGUGAGACUGGACUGAACAUAUGCCAUUUUAUUACCCUCUGUGGCUGUGCCUGUGUGGGAGAAUCCGUAUGUGUGUGGGAAAGGUCUGUCACAUCUGAAGAGGGCUGGAAGGGUCUUUUCUCCUUUGAUGAUAAUGAAUAAACUGCAUGUUGUGCACCUGUGUAUUGACCAUGACCCAUCACGUGAGGUCAGCGUGGAAUUUUCUACUUGUGGUGUCAUGUUGGCACCCAAAAAUUUCAGAUUUUUGAGCAUUUUGAAUUUCAGAUUUUUGGAUUAGCUAUACUCAACCUGCAAUGUUUAUAUUUACAUAAUAUGAAUGAAGAGAGGCUUAAAAUAAGGUCAAAUAACUUUCUCAAAAUUGCAGAUGGUAAACACUGGGCCAUUUUAUUAAGAUUAUUGUGAAGCUUCCUGAUUGAUCUCAGUGAUCUCAAUCUCACUGUAUGUCAUACUGCUACCAGAAUAAUUUUUCAAUAUGUAAAUCUAAUUCUACUAGUUACCUGCCUAAAAUCUCGAGGUAGAUUCCCAUAUGAUUUGAAAGUAUUUUUUGACUUUUUCUUGCAUAUUGUUCUUUUUGUAUGGGCCACUGCAAUAAUUCUGGACUUUUUCCAAGCUAAAUUAUUUAUUGCUCCCAUUACUUGUUUACAUGUGCUCUUCCCGCUGCUAGAGCUUUCUCCAUUCUUUUAUUCAUAUGCUCAAUUACAAUUCUUUCUUUAAACAUGUUUCAUCACACCUAAGAAGUUGUUUCAAACAUCUCAAUCUGAUAUAAAAUGAACUCUGUAUCAAACUUUAUCAGCCCCUAUCCCAUGCUAUUAAAAUUAUUUCUUUCUUACCAGGCACACUUUUGAAACUACAAACUUUUGAAUACACACAUACACACACACACACACACACACACACACACCCCAUACAUACUCAAUAUACUUAUAUACUCAAUAUAUGUGUCUGUAUAUAUAUAUAUAAAAAUAAUAUAUAUGUAUGCAUUAAUCGUGCAGAUUUAUGUAGUUCUGCAUAAUUUUUUCAUUUUGUCAGUUCACAC